GGGAAGGUGGCUCAGUGGUAGAGUGCUUGCCUUGCAUGCAUGAGACUCUGGGUUCGAUUCUUCACCAUGACA
rfam:Dipodomys ordii contig_34043, whole genome shotgun sequence.